rnacentral:rRNA from 1 species
AUUGAACGCUGGCGGCAUGCCUUACACAUGCAAGUCGAACGGCAGCACGGGGCAACCUGGUGGCGAGUGGCGAACGGGUGAGUAAUGCAUCGGAACGUACCUUUCAGUGGGGGAUAACGUAGCGAAAGUUACGCUAAUACCGCAUAUUCUGUGAGCAGGAAAGCAGGGGAUCGCAAGACCUUGCGCUGAUUGAGCGGCCGAUGUCAGAUUAGCUAGUUGGGGAGGUAAAGGCUCACCAAGGCGACGAUCUGUAGCGGGUCUGAGAGGAUGAUCGGCCAACCGGGAGCUGCAACACGGUCCAGACUCCUACGGGAGGCAGCAGGGGGGAAUUUUGGACAAUGGGGGCAACCCUGAUCCAGCCAUGCCGCGUGAGUGAAGAAGGCCUUCGGGUUGUAAAGCUCUUUCGGCCGGGAAGAAAUCGCACGGGCUAAUACCCUGUGUGGAUGACGGUACCGGAAUAAGAAGCACCGGCUAACUACGUGCCAGCCGCCGCAGUAAGAC